GCUGGGCAUGGUGGCACAUGCCUGUAAUCCCAGCUACUCAGGAGGCUGAGGCAGGAGAAUUGCUUGAACCCAGGAGACGGAGGUUGCAGUGAGGUGAGAUUGCACCACUGCACUCCAGCCUGGGUGACAGAGCAAGACUCUGUCUCAA
ensembl:misc_RNA Metazoa_SRP Metazoan signal recognition particle RNA